rnacentral:rRNA from 1 species
UAACGACUCUCGGCAACGGAUAUCUCGGCUCACGCAUCGAUGAAGAACGUAGCAAAAUGCGAUACUUGGUGUGAAUUGCAGAAUCCCGUGAACCAUCGAGUUUUUGAACGCAAGUUGCGCCCGAAGCCAUCAGGCCGAGGGCACGCCUGCCUGGGCGUCACGC